rnacentral:lncRNA from 1 species
CAACCCACCACAAUCCUUGUUUCAAGUAAUCCUAAAAUGACAGCAGCCUCAUCUCCCCUUUAAGUGUGUAUGUAUGCAAGUAGGACCUAACCUGAUGCAAGCCAAGUUGACCAAGGAGUGAUAAAUUUGGCUAAACAAAGACCUGGGCUCAUUGAAGGAAGUUCAUCAAGAAGGGCUUGAGCAUCUUGCAAAACGACUUUAGUCAAUGAAAUAAACUCAUUAGGAAGCGGUGGUGGUUCACACCCAGCACUUCUGUAAGUCGUCUUAUUCCCUGUUGUUUCCUGGUCCAUUUUUUACUAAAAGAUAUCAUGUGUGUGGUGUAAGUGCAACUUCAUCUUGUUCACUAGGCUUGUAAAACACCCCACGACCCGUACCCCACUUUUGAUAUAUAUAUAUAUCUUCACCAUAUCAGUCAGAAAAAUAUAAAGAAAUUUAAGAAAAAACAUUGUUCUUGAAACACCUCUUUUAUUUAAAAAAAAAAAAAUUAAAUAUAUACCUGGUCCGAGAGGCUGACGUAUUUCUCCAAGUGAAUUAUUCCGGGCCCAAGUAUUUUUUAAGUUGAUAUUUUGCUCGAGGUUCUUUCAUACGCAGACUCUGUUCUCAACCAAGGUGCGAUUAUACUAAAUGCUUGCGUUUCAUAUUCAAGAAAAAAAAUUAGCAGGAAUGUUGUGACAUUGCUUCAGAUUUCCACCAUGGAAUCCAUUCUGUGUGUAUAAAAAUUGUAAUAGGCAAGCAGAACAUGUUUCUUUGCAUAUGAAAAUCAAUGUUCAUAUAUUCAUAUAUAUAACAAUUUAUUAGUAACUUUCUGUAAAAUAUACGUUAGCCAAUAAUAUUAUCCGAUAUUAUUGGUAUAUACAAGAUGCCUAUAUAUAAUACAUAAUAGAGAGUUAUCUACGGAAACAGUACAAGGUUGUCAAUCAGGGAUAUCACAAAUUAUCAGAACUGAAUCUUCCGGUCUAUAAUGCAUCCAUCAUUUAUUGUGACAACAUCUCCGCAGUAUACCUAGCUGAUAACCAUGUGCAACACCAACGAACCAAACGAAUUGAAUUAGAUAUACAUUUCAUUCGAGAAAAAGUUCGCCUUGGCACAGUAAAGGUCCUUCAUGUUCCAGCAGAUUAUCAGUACGCAGACAUCUUCACCAAAGGGUUACCGAAUUUGUGUGGUGGUUUAAUGUUUGAGCACGAAGGACUUUCGUCACAGACCCUUAGCGACGAAAUAUAGGACUUUCGUCACUCAUCAUGAGCUCGACGAAACACUAGGUGUUUCGCCAGGAGAGUGUUUUCGCCAAUAAGGGCUUCGGCCCAAUCCAUUUCGUGGCCCAACUGUUUAAUGUUAUGUAAUAUUA